rnacentral:rRNA from 1 species
GGCACGGGGACUGUGGUUUAUUCGAAGCACGCGCAGAACCUUACCAGCCCUUGACAUCCCGGUCGCGGUUUCCAGAGAUGGAUUCCUUCAGUUCGGCUGGACCGGUGACAGGUGCUGCAUGGCUGUCGUCAGCUCGUGUCGUGAGAUGUUGGGUUAAGUCCCGCAACGAGCGCAACCCUCGCCCUUAGUUGCCAUCAUUCAGUUGGGCACUCUAAGGGGACUGCCGGUGAUAAGCCGAGAGGAAGGUGGGGAUGACGUCAAGUCCUCAUGGCCCUUACGGGCUGGGCUACACACGUGCUACAAUGGUGGUGACAGUGGGCAGCGAGACCGCGAGGUCUAGCUAAUCUCCAAAAGCCAUCUCAGUUCGGAGUGUCCUCUGCAACUCGAGUGCUUGAAGGUGGAAUCGCUAGUAAUCGAUGAUGAACAUGACGCGGAAGAAUACGUAUCGGGGUCCUUAUACCAACCACCCAUAUAAUUUCACCUCCCUCCUUUACACUUGU